rnacentral:rRNA from 1 species
UACGUAGGGUGCGAGCGUUAAUCGGAAUUGCUGGGCGUAAAGCGUGCGCAGGCGGUUUUGUAAGUCAGAUGUGAAAGCCCCGGGCUCAACCUGGGAACUGCAUUUGUGACUGCAUCGCUGGAGUGCGGCAGAGGGGGAUGGAAUUCCGCGUGUAGCAGUGAAAUGCGUAGAUAUGCGGAGGAACACCGAUGGCGAAGGCAAUCCCCUGGGCCUGCACUGACGCUCAUGCACGAAAGCGUGGGGAGCAAACAGG